rnacentral:rRNA from 1 species
GACGAACGCUGGCGGCGUGCCUAAUACAUGCAAGUUGAGCGAUGAAGAUUGGUGCUUGCACCAAUUUGAAGAGCAGCGAACGGGUGAGUAACGCGUGGGGAAUCUGCCUUUGAGCGGGGGACAACAUUUGGAAACGAAUGCUAAUACCGCAUAACAACUUUAAACAUAAGUUUUAAGUUUGAAAGAUGCAAUUGCACCACUCAAAGAUGAUCCCGCGUUGUAUUAGCUAGUUGGUGAGGUAAAGGCUCACCAAGGCGAUGAUACAUAGCCGACCUGAGAGGGUGAUCGGCCACAUUGGGACUGAGACACGGCCCAAACUCCUACGGGAGGCAGCAGUAGGGAAUCUUCGGCAAUGGACGAAAGUCUGACCGAGCAACGCCGCGUGAGUGAAGAAGGUUUUCGGAUCGUAAAACUCUGUUGGUAGAGAAGAACGUUGGUGAGAGUGGAAAGCUCAUCAAGUGACGGUAACUACCCAGAAAGGGACGGCUAACUACGUG